GACGAACGCUGGCGGCGUGCUUAACACAUGCAAGUCGAACGGACAGGCCCUGCUUUUGUGGGGUUCUCGAGUGGCGAACGCGUGAGUAACACGUGAGUAACCUGCCCCUGUCUUUGGGGUAACUUCAGGAAACUGCGGCUCAUACCGGAUAGGAGCUCCUGCUGCAUGGUGGGGGAUGGUAAGUUUCGGCGGUUGGGGAUGGACUGGCGGCUUAUCAGCUUGUUGGUGGGGUAGUUGCUUACCAAGGCUUUGACGGGUAGCCGGCAUGGGAGGUGGGCCGGCCACCAUGGGACUGAGGGAGGGCGCAGACGCCUACGUGAGGCAGCAGUGGGAAACCUUGCGCAACGGGGGGAAGCCUGAGGCAGCAACGUUGGGUGCGGGAUACUGGCCUUCGGGUGAAAAACAGAUGUGGCCUGUGACGAAGAGUGAGUGACGGUAAUGGGUAAAGAAGCACCGGCUAACUACGUG
rnacentral:rRNA from 1 species